rnacentral:rRNA from 1 species
UACAGAGGGGGCAAGCGUUGUUCGGAAUUACUGGGCGUAAAGGGCGCGUAGGCGGCCUGUUAAGUCGAACGUGAAAUCCCCGGGCUCAACCCGGGAACUGCGUCCGAUACUGGCAGGCUUGAAUUCGGGAGAGGGAUGCGGAAUUCCAGGUGUAGCGGUGAAAUGCGCAGAUAUCUGGAGGAACACCGGUGGCGAAGGCGGCAUCCUGGACCGGCAUUGACGCUGAGGCGCGAAAGCUAGGGGAGCAAACGGG